rnacentral:hammerhead_ribozyme from 1 species
GCUGACGUGUCCCAAAUAGGACGAAACAUGUGUCC